rnacentral:rRNA from 1 species
GCUCAGGACGAACGCUGGCGGCGCGCCUAACACAUGCAAGUCGAACGAGCGAGAGGGAGCUUGCUUUCUCAAGCGAGUGGCGAACGGGUGAGUAACGCGUGAGGAACCUGCCUCAAAGAGGGGGACAACAGUUGGAAACGACUGCUAAUACCGCAUAAGCCCACGACCCGGCAUCGGGUAGAGGGAAAAGGAGCAAUCCGCUUUGAGAUGGCCUCGCGUCCGAUUAGCUAGUUGGUGAGGUAAUGGCCCACCAAGGCGACGAUCGGUAGCCGGACUGAGAGGUUGAACGGCCACAUUGGGACUGAGACACGGCCCAGACUCCUACGGGAGGCAGCAGUA